CAGCCGCCGCGGGAAAACGAAGGGGGCUAGCGUUGUUCGGAUUAACUGGGCGUAAAGGGCGCGUAGGCGGGUUUUUAAGUCAGAGGUGAAAUCCCAAGGCUCAACCUUGGAACUGCCUUUGAUACUGGAAGUCUUGAGUCCGGGAGAGGUGAGUGGAACUGCGAGUGUAGAGGUGAAAUUCGUAGAUAUUCGCAAGAACACCAGUGGCGAAGGCGGCUCACUGGCCCGGUACUGACGCUGAGGCGCGAAAGCGUGGGGAGCAAACAGGAUUAGAUACCCCUGUAGUCCCUGUCUCUUAUAC
rnacentral:rRNA from 1 species